rnacentral:lncRNA from 1 species
UUAACUUUGCUAAGAAACAAAUAGCUUUAAGCUUUUGGUAGAUAUUUCGGGCUAAAAUAGAAGUUGAUGUGACCUCCUAUAGGAUAAUAGUUGGUUGCAAAUCACCGAGGUGGAAGAAAAGAAGAGUCAAUCCCCUUAGAUUGUGCUCCAUUAGUGUUGUCUUCAGCGAUGUUGUCUACACAAAAUGAAAUAGUCGAAGGACAAUUUUGAAAACAAUUUUAUAUAGUCCAUCUACAUACAAAAAAAAAACAAAAAGAAUGAGUUAGCAGAUAUUUAGAUGGACAAUACAUUUAGUAGGCUUCCUGACACUAGAAAAGGAUAACUAUAUAGGACUAGUUGCAUAAGUGGUCAACAACAUUUUCCGUCCUCCGCUGCG